rnacentral:rRNA from 1 species
AUGUAUCCAGUGGCAUGGGCAGUUGUUGAGAGGGAAACUAAUAAUACAUGGAAGUGGUUCAUUGCCCUGCUUAUUAAAGAUCUUGAGAUUAAUGACAAUGGAGCUGGCUGGGUGUUCAUUUCAGAUCAGCAGAAGGGACUGAUAAAUGCAAUGAAGGAUUAUUUGCCAAAUGCAGAGCACAAAAUGUGUGCUAGGCAUAUCUAUGCCAACUGGAGGAAGAAGCAUAGGGAACAUCAGUGGCAGAAGAAGUUCCAGGCAGUUGCCAAAGCAGCAAACAAGCAGGACUUCAACUACUGUAAAGCAAAGCUUGCCCAAGAAACUCGAGAAGGUGCGAAAGACAUCAUGAGAACAGAGCCAGUGCAUUGGGCAAUGGCUUUUUUUCCAGUGGGAUCCAAUUGUGAGUCUGUUGAUAAUAAUUUGUGUGAAUCCUUCAAUCAUGCAAUUGUUGAAGCAAGGUUUUAUCCAAUGCAAGAAAAUAUAAGGCAAAAGGUUAUGGUUAGAAUUCAGGAACAAAGGGAAAAAGGUCAGAACUUUCAUGGAAAAAUAUGUCCAAGUGCAUUCAAGAAAUUGAAGAGCAGCAUAGCAAGAACCCAGUUCAUGGAAGUACUUUGGAAUGGCAAAGAUGGAUUUGAAGUGAAACUUGUCACUUGGAGAAAAAGGCAGUACACAGUGAGUCUUGACAACUAG